rnacentral:tRNA from 1 species
GGAAGGGUGUCCGAGUGGUUUAAGGAGGCGGUCUUGAAAACCGUUAGCCCGGUGACGGGCUCGUGGGUUCGAAUCCCACCUCUUCCG